GGUGGUUCUCAGGUGACACAUCCCAGAAUCGGGCUCCCUCCUCUCUGGUUCCGGGUGCAUCACCCGAGAACCACA
rfam:Myotis brandtii contig317332, whole genome shotgun sequence.